CUUUCCCUGCUACUUCAAUCGGUUCUUCUUCUGCUUCUUCUUCUGCUUCUGCCAUCUGGUGCUUUGGGGCAACUGACUGAAACUCACCUGGAUAACAUCUCUCACAGGAGGAGAUGGAGCAGCAAAGGAAGAGUUUAGAAAUUGAUUCUUCACAAGAGGAACAAAGAGGCAAAAAUGGGCAGAGACCUCAGCACUGCAGUGGGCCUGACAAAGCUCACCCACCAGCCGCAAAGGGAAACAGAGUGCAUCGUUGUGACGUCUGUGGAAAGGCUUUCGCCAAGAUGGACCACCUCAGAAGACACCAACGCAUUCACAGUGGGGACAGACCCUUCAGCUGUGAGCAGUGUGGAAAGGGUUUUAAUUGCAUUACUAACCUAAAAUCACACCAGUUCAGUCACAGUGGAAUUAAACCAUUCAGCUGUGAUCAGUGUGGAAAGGCUUUUACUCAGUCGAGUGAUUUAAAAAAGCACCAGCUCAUCCACAGUGGGGUUAAACCAUUCAGCUGUGAGCAGUGUGGGAGGUGUUUUAUUCAGAAGAGUGAUUUAAAACGGCAUCACUUCGUCCACAAUGGGGUUAAGCCAUUCAGCUGUGACCACUGUGGAAGGGGUUUUACCUGCGUUAGUAAGUUACAGAGACACCAGCUCAUCCACAGUGGGGUUAAACCAUUCUGCUGUGGUCAGUGUGGAAGGAGUUUUAAUGAGAUGAGUGAUUUAAACAGUCAUCAGCUCACUCACAGUGGAGUUAAACCAUACAUCUGUGAUCAGUGUGGAAAGGCGUUCACUUGCAUUAGUAAAUUAAAACGACACCAGGUCACCCACAGUGGAAUUAAAGCAUUCGUCUGCGGCGAGUGUGGAAAGGCUUUUACGGAGAAGGGUGAUUUGAAAAGACACCAGUUUGUCCACAGUGGGGUUAAACCAUUCACCUGUGAGCAGUGUGGAAAGUCUUUUACUUGCCCGAGUAAAUUAAAAACACAUAAGCUCAUCCACAGUGGAAUUACGGCAUUCACCUGUGAGCAGUGUGGAAAGGGUUUUGCUUUCCGUGGGAUCUUAAAGAAACACCAGCUGAUCCACAGUGGGGUUAAACCAUUCAAGUGUGAUCAGUGUGGAAAGUGUUUCACUCGCAGGUGUGAUUUAAAAACACACCAGUUCACCCACAGUGACGUUAAGCCUUUCAGCUGUGAGGAGUGUGGAAAAGGUUUUGUUAGCCACAGUAGCUUAAAAAGACAUCAGCUCAUCCACAAUGGGGUUAAAGCAUUCAUCUGUGGGGAGUGUGGAAAGGCCUUUACUGAGAUGGGUGAAUUGAAAAGGCACCAGUUCACCCACAGUGGGGUUAAACCAUUCAGCUGCGAUCAGUGUGGAAAGUGUUUUAGUCAGAAGGGUGAUUUAAAAAAUCAUCAGCUCCUCCACAGUGGAAUUAAACCAUUCAGCUGUGGUCAGUGUGGAAAGGCCUUUACACUGAUUACUAACCUACGGAGACAUCAGCUGACCCACAGUGGGGUUAAACCGUUCAGCUGUGGUCAGUGUGGAAAGGCCUUUACUCAUAAAAGAUACUUAAUAAACCAUCUGCAAACCCACUCUGGACAUAAGCAGUAAACGUGUGACGUCUGUGGAGAAGCAGCCUAAAACCAAAGCAUGGACACUCCACAGUGUACAACGUCGCUAUGACUAAAGCAGACCGUUUUUAGUUCCAUCCAUCGUCUGCCUUUUAUCCAAAUUAUUGGAGUUCUGAAGCAACACUGUAACCAGAGAGACCCUCAAAUCCCUCUCUAUGGUAAUAACAUCAUUGUAUCAUUUUAAAAUCUUUUGAUUCAUAAAAUGUUAUUAAAGAAUGAACAGUGGCGUGAUGGGAUCACCACUCCUUGCUUUGUACACUAUUCUUACUGCUUUCUUUUAAACAUACUGAGUUUGUCAUUGUUUUAUGUUAAUCCCCCCCCCGUUGACCCCGUAGAACAAGUAUGGAGCUACAUACUUUACAGUACAGUUUGUAAAGACAAUCCAUAUUUACAAGUCCUCUUUGUGUAAUAAAGUUUUUUUCUUAGAAACAAAACCUGUUAAGAUGUGUUUCACAGGGUGGGG